rnacentral:rRNA from 1 species
UACGUAGGGGGCGAGCGUUGUCCGGAAUUAUUGGGCGUAAAGAGCGUGUAGGCGGUUCGGUAAGUCUGUCGUGAAAACCUGGGGCUCAACCCCAGGCGUGCGGUGGAUACUGCCGGGCUAGAGGAUGGUAGAGGCGAGUGGAAUUCCCGGUGUAGCGGUGAAAUGCGCAGAUAUCGGGAGGAACACCGAUUGCGAAGGCAGCUCGCUGGAACGUAACUGACGCUGAGACGCGAAAGCGUGGGGAGCAAACAGG